rnacentral:lncRNA from 1 species
CUUAAAUUCCCACCAAUUCAAAAUUGUUUGGAUUAAAGUUUUCUUGUGUUUUGUGCAACAUAUAAUCAUUAAAUAAAGGUGUGCAAAGAAAUGUGUCAUUCCCAAUCUGUCGUUAAAUUAAAAAGGCUUGGCUGUGAAGAAACCCAAUUCCUAAUUGCAAACACCCGUUUUCAGCACUAAAUCUGCAACCUCGGCUCUUGAUUUUCUCUGCCGAUUUGCCUCCUGCAAAUCAAGGUCAACUUUUCUCUCUAAUAUGGUAUAUGUGCCUGGUUUUGUCAAAUUUGUCAAACCCAACAUGUGACCAUACAAUUUUGAAAAUCUCUGUCCGUCGACGACAUUGUUGGCUAGAAUAUACAAAAGCAAUCCCAAAAUUCAAUACACCAAAAGGCCUCUAAAACCUUGCAAAAUUUCAGCAAUAGUACAUGGCUUCGGCAUAUGUGAACUGAUUUUAUGUGUUGUAUAAUAUGAUUGUUCUAUGUUUACAUAUUUUUCAGGUUGUGAAAUUGAGAAUUAAUGUUGUUGGAGGAGAAAUAUAUGGUGGAUUCAAGGUUUUAUUUCGGUCGACAGCGAAGACCAAAAAGCGGCGCCUGUGGAAGAAGAAUUGGGUGAUGGAUUUAGGUCAUUUUGCUCGGCAGUGGUAUUUUUUGGCGACGGGGGCCUCUCUUGCAAUUUGUAAGAUUAGAGGCCCCUAUCUGCAAUUAAGGGAUUGGGCUUAAACUUGCAAUUUUAAAAGAAGGGCCCCUUCAACAGUUUGCGUAAUAUGGGGGGUCUAUUUGUAAAUUAGACUAGGGUCAGAUUGCAAACUUCUAUAUUGCUUUGAAUUUAAAUAUUAAAAAAAAUUUAGAUUUUCUUUAGGGUUUUUAUGUGAAAACGGGCAGAAUUGGUUGGAAACGGGACCUAUGUUGCAAUUUCAGAAAGUUCAGGCCUCUGCUUGCCAUAUGAACUGGGGUUAAGUUUGUAAUUAAUAAAACGAGGACCUAAUCUUAAUUUUUAAAUUUAAGGUCAAAAUGCAAUUUUCGGAAGAGUAUUAAAUUUGACUUUUUAAAAGGAUCUAAAAUUAUGUUCUAAAUGUGUUUGAUCUAUAUUUUAAUUUUGACCCGUUUAAGAUUAAAAUUUUAAAAUUGACGAUAUUUAUAUUUUGUUAAAAUGCUCAUAUGUUUAAAUGUUGCUAUUUUUGUCCAUUUAAAUGUAUAUUGAUUUUUUGUUACC